GGAGGUAGUGACAAUAAAUCACAAUGCGGGACUAUCAGUCUUGCAAUUGGAUUGAGAACAAUGUACAACUCUUAUCGAUAAGCCAUUGGAGGGCAAGUCUGGUGCCAGCAGCCGCGGUAAUUCCAGCUCCAAUAGCGUAUAUUAACGUUGUUGCAGUUAAAAAGCUCGUAGUUGAAGUGUGGGUGAUCGCUGUUGUGAGACUUCGGUCUCUCGACAGUAAGUCACCCCCUUCCAGUAUCCAGUAGUGGGUAUUCAGUUACUUACUAUUGUGUGUUGGUCGUUUACUGUGAGAAAAUUAGAGUGUUCAAAGCAGGCGUUUGCUUGAAUAGAUUAGCAUGGAAUAAUAAUUGAAGGCUUUCGUGUUCGAUUUGAUUGGUUUGUUCAUGGAAGCAAGGUUAAAAGGAACAGUUGGGGGUAUUCAUAUUCACUAGUUGGAGGUGAAAUUCUCGGAUUUAUGGAAGAUGAACAAGUGCGAAAGCA
rnacentral:rRNA from 1 species